CUUAAGCCUCUUACUUGUGUUGCUUAAGGAAGCGAGUAGGAUGUGUUUCAGUCCGUCUUUCAGGUCCGAGAUGACGGGGCCGUCCUCUCACUCUGUCCGCAGGUUCACGGCAAGCUGAUCCUCAGCGGCAUUGCGGAGGAAACAGCGGAGUCGACUCAGUUAAAGACGAGCAGAGCAUAGAGGUUAUCCUCCGUCUCUCUUCUGCAGGAAAGGUGGAAGAGGACUGGGUUGCACAGCAGUCUUCUUUGGAUCCAGUUGAACACAAAGAAAUAUCCACUUGUCCAGUGAGGUUGAGAUUGUAUGGCCUAGUUACAGUCACAUACAUAUGGGAGCUACUUCCUUACAUCAGCUGGAAGCGUAGUUCAGACAGUUAGUGGUGUGUUUAUACUCAGUGACAUCACGGCUGGGAAGAGGAAAUCCCGUGCCUUUCCAGAAGGUCUCGUCCAAUGAGAGCCGAGAGUUUGACUCUGCCGGAUUUCACUCCUAGGUGUGAAUUGAGCAGAGCAUGAUGGGAGUUGAAGUCUGUUUGGAGUCUUUUUGUUUGACUUGGCACCUUUCUUUACCAGGCUUUGUGACUGCAUGCAGACAUAGUAACAUAUCCAUCUAUUGGGUAAGAUUCCAGAUUUCAGAUCUUUUGGAGAUGGAGAUGUGAACAUGCCAGAGGGUUGGCUGUGCUUUGGUUUUAUGGCCACAUAAAAUGUGCGUUUGCGUCUCUCAUCUUGGUGAUACUCCAUGUACUCCAGAUGCAGUGUGCCUAUCUGCUCCAGGGAACAACAUCACCUCAAGUUGCACUAUUGAGGUCUAAACACGGCCCUGCAUUUGAACAACGGAUGCACCGAUCUGACUUUUUCAGUCCCGAUACUGAUACUUGGACUUUGGGUAUCGUCAAUACCGAGUACUGAUCCAUUACCAGUAUUUAAUUAAACAGCUGUACGUUUCACUGUGGAGGCGACUGGGAUCUUUCUUUUAUGUGUGAGGCAGCAUUAUACUUGACUUUGCUUUC